AAUGAUAGGACCCUAGUGUUUUCAACGCAGCAUGCACCCGUUGGGACAGGUUUAUGUGUGGUUUGUGUGUUUGUGUUUGUGUGUGUGCAUGUGUGUAUGUGUGUGUGUGUGUGUGUGUGUGUGUGUGUGUGUGUGUAUAUGUAUGUUUGAAUUUGUAUUGGUGUGUGUGUUUGUUUCACAAGUAUGUCGUUUUGGAUAGAUUUGUUAGUAGUUUUUUUGUGUUUUGGGUUAGGUUUUUGAUGUAAUACAGGGUUUUCCAUUCCAAUUAACAAUUGUCCACAGUCAACUAGCAAUCCUCGAUUUGAACAACACGAUUGUCUACCACUUACAAACAAGUCAAGCCGUUUUUGGUACACUGUCCAUUUCAAUUUCACAAUUGUCGUCUUCGAAAACACACGUCAGAUGCGGCACGGGUUGUUUUGGUUUUGGCUGGAACGUGUAUCACUUGUCUGUAAGAAUUGAACCAUGCUAUAAACAGGUCUUGAUUGAAUAUGAGAAUUUGGGAAAGUUGAGCAAUAUGGACAUGCUAAGGAGUUUUAUCAUAUGGUUUUAGUUAUUCUUUGAGCGUUACAGUUUUUAAGAUAUUUUGGGACGUUCUAAUAUUUUUUUUACAUUUGAUACCAGUAAAAGCACCGAUUGAUGUACAAAUUUCUGCAUUGUAUUGAAAAAUUAAAGUAUAGAUAAAACUGUCUAACAUGUCCAUGUUGCUCAGCUUUCCCAACUUCAAGUGAUACACGUUCCAGCCAAAAUCAAAACAUCCCGUGCCGCAUCUGACAUGUGUUUUCGAAGACGACAAUUGUGAAAUUGAAAUGGACAGUGUACCAAAAACGGCUUGACUUGUUUGUAAGUGGUAGACAAUCGUGUUGUUCAAAUCGAGGAUUGCUAGUUGACUGUGGACAGUUGUUAAUUGGAAUGGAAAACCCUGUAAGCAGGACCUCCACCCUCGCGAUCAGUGUGUUUUUGAUAUAUUAAUAAUAGGCCCGAUUAUUAAACACAAACGGAAAUGUCACAAGACAAGUGCGUCAACACAAACGGAAACUAGGUAUGCAUUUUGAAACCGUUCUUGUGACAGACAAGUUUCGUUAAAAUUUUUCUUUCGUUAAAGCUGUGUCGAUGAGUCAAAAUGUUCAAAAUCAAAAUAAAAAAAAACGUAAACAAGUUUAUUUAAGACACGAUCGUUUAUCAAGCUAACAAUCCUUGUUUAAAACAUCGAAAUGAUUUUAUCCCACAUCGUGAGUGAUAGCAGCAGAGAAGAAGAAACAACGGUAGAUCUGGCAAAACAGCGCCGACUGCUUCGAAGUGUUUUCGACCCGUUACAGAUUUAUAACCAAGUAUUUAAGAAAAAAAUUCGUGUGUCGAAGGAAAUUUUCCUUGGAAUUCUUGCGGAGAUUUGAGCCCUCCGAGUAUUUGUUUUUACUAAAAGUGUAUGCAGUAUUAGAUGUGAUAAUUACAUGUGCCUAUGCUGUUGGUUGUUGAAGCAGCAACUCACUGAAGAAGUUGCUGGAAUCCAAUACUGUUGAACGCAAACCGGGUGCGUGAGCCCUUCAUCUUUCGACUACCAUCGAAGAACAACAGAGGAAGGAAAUAACAGCAGCUACUUAACCUAAAACAGCAGCACGUUACCAGUAUCUCCAGCUUAUCGCCAUUUGUAUGGAUAUGGCAGUACACAUAUUUUUGUUUAAAAUGAUAAAAUUUGAUUAUUUCUGAAAUAAAAUACUUAUAUUUUGUCGUGAAAGCAACAGCAACAACUCUGUUGUUGUGUUUUGUCGGUCAAACAAUCUGAGAUUGGCGCCUUUCCGUGACAAAGUCAGCUUUUUGUAGUUUGACAAAUUUGGAUUUCCGUUUGUGUUUCAUAAUACAUAUCUUGGCAGUAUGCUUGUGAGUUUGAGUUUCGUCAAUUUUUUUUCCAACACACAACACAAACGGAUGUCAUAAUACAAAUCUUCUGAUUUUGACAACUUAUCUUUACAAUUUGUGUUUAAUAAUCGGGCCUAAUUUUACGGUCUUCUUUCGCCGUGGUCUUCUUAGAACGUCCGGUCUUUCGGACUUGCGCGUUUCGGUUGUCCGAAGCGCGUAUGCCACAAAAGUGCGCGAUCGUUCCAUUACGAACUCGAUCGUUUUGCGCUUAAUGCCAGCAGCCGCCAUUCGUUUUAUCAUAUGGCGCUGAUAAUCGGUACAAUGUUUACCUCGACCCAUUGUUACUAACAUUGCUUGCUUGGACCGUCAAGAACGCGCUGGUUAAAAACUUGGACGCGGCUGAUCCCGUGCUCUGCCUGCGUUCUACUUCUAUACGCGAUGAAUUACAUCGUUGUCGAGCAGCGAAAACAUCGCAUGGAUAAAACUAUCAACGGGUACGCGAGUAAGCGUCUUCCCUUCAAAAUCGAGAACAGAAUACUGCCGCGCUCAUGAAACAAAACGCCCAUUGAAAAGAACACCUGCGCACCAGCUCAAUGCACGCACCAAGUUUUCCAUGCGCACACAACGUUCAACGCAGAGAUGCACGCAGACCUUUCAAUCGCGUGCACUGGAGAAACACCUGUGAGGGAAUGCCGAGUUCAUUGCUAUUGUGCGCGUGUCCAUUUUGCAUCGCUGCACAUGCACAUUCAUCAAUCAGCACACCGGCGUUUUCGUCCGAGGAACAAGCGCUGCUGUCGAUGCAAACUUUAGCUUUUAUCCAAGUGCAAACGCACGCUGUUUCACAUGAUAACACACAUUAUCAGAAUACUUUCAACGCAAUAUGACAUAAUGGCAAGCUACGUUUUUCAGACACAAACCCGCGCACUUGCAAAUACACAUUAAAAAGCACACUCUCUUUCUACUACACACACUCACACACACACACAUACACACACUCACACACAAACACACACACUCACGCACACACACACACACACACACACACACACACACACACACACACACACACACACACACACACACACACACACACACACACACACACACACACACACACACACACACACACACACACACACACACACACACAAACACA